rnacentral:rRNA from 1 species
CGAACGCUGGCGGCGUGCUUAACACAUACAAGUCGAACGCGAAAGGGACUUCGGUCCUGAGUAAAGUGGCGCACGGGUGAGUAACGCGUAGAUAACCUGUCUUCAUGUCUGGAAUAAUACGCCGAAAGGGGUACUAAUACCGGAUAUUCUUGCUUUUCAUAAGUUAUGCAAGCAAAGGUGGCCUCUGCAUAUGCUACUGCAUGAAGAGGGGCCUGCGUACCAUUGGCUAGUAGGUGGGGUAAUGGCCUACCUAGGCGACGAUGGUUAGCGGGUCUGAGAGGAUGAUCCGCCACACUGGCACUGGAACACGGGCCAGACUCCUACGGGAGGCAGCAGUGAGGAAUAUUGCGCAAUGGGGGAAACCCUGACGCAGCGACGCCGCGUGAGUGAAGGAAGGCCUUCGGGUCGUAAAGCUCUGUCAAGAGGAAAGAAGUGUACAAUGGCUAAUACCUGUUGUAUUUGACGGUACCUCUAAAGGAAGCACCGGCUAACUCCGUGCCAGCCGCAGC